GAAACUGUGAACGGCUCAUUAUAUCAGUUUUAAUUUACAUGAUAUUUUCUUACUUCUAGGAUAACCGUAGUAAUUCUAGAGCUACUACUUGAUACAACGCCUGACAGCUUGCUGAAGGGCCGUAUUUAUUAGAUCCAGCCAACCCGGCUCUGCCGGUGCAUGGUGAAUCAUAGUAACUUUUCGAAUCGCAUGGCUUCGGCUGGCGAUGGUUCAUUCAAGAUUCUGCCCUAUCAGCUUUCGAUGGUAGGGUAUUGGCCUACCAUGGCGUUAACGGGUAACGGGGGAUUAGGGUUCGAUUCCGGAGAGGGAGCCUGAGAAACGGCUACCACAUCCAAGGAAGGCAGCAGGCGCGUAAAUUACCCAAUCCUGAUACAGGGAGGUAGUGACAAUAAAUAACAAUACGGAACUCAUCGAGUUUUGUAAUUGGAAUGAGUACAAUUUAAUUCUCUUAACAAGUAUCAAUUGGAGGGCAAGUCUGGU
rnacentral:rRNA from 1 species